rnacentral:rRNA from 1 species
UGGGGAAUAUUGCACAAUGGGCGCAAGCCUGAUGCAGCCAUGCCGCGUGUAUGAAGAAGGCCUUCGGGUUGUAAAGUACUUUCAGUCGGGAGGAAGGUGUCAAGGUUAAUAACCUUGGCAAUUGACGUUACCGACAGAAGAAGCACCGGCUAACUCCGUGCCAGCAGCCGCGGUAAUACGGAGGGUGCAAGCGUUAAUCGGAAUUACUGGGCGUAAAGCGCACGCAGGCGGUUGAUUGAGUCAGAUGUGAAAUCCCCGGGCUUAACCCGGGAAUUGCAUCUGAUACUGGUCAGCUAGAGUCUUGUAGAGGGGGGUAGAAUUCCAGGUGUAGCGGUGAAAUGCGUAGAGAUCUGGAGGAAUACCGGUGGCGAAGGCGGCCCCCUGGACGAAGACUGACGCUCAGGUGCGAAAGCGUGGGGAGCAAACAGG